CAUACAGACAGACAAACAAACAUACAUACAUACAAAGAACACAAGGAGGACAUAAAAAAAAACAAAAUGGAUGUAACGGAAAAUAAGGAAAGAAGGGGUAUAUCUCGAUUACUCAAUGAAUUGUAUAUAAAUUGGAAUUAUAGAAGGCAAAGUUGGAGAAUUAGUUUUUAUUAUAAUUGCUUAACCAUUGUCGCUAUUCUUAAUAUUAUAAUUACUUUAAUAUUCCAACAUCUUAUUAAGUCUUUUAAUAUUUUUAUAAAUUAUUCAUGUGAUGCUUAUUAUAUUAACUUUAUAUUAAAUGAUUUACUAACCUUUAUGAUUUUAGCAUUUUUUACAUGUUUUUUUGCUUUUUGUCUAUCAAGAAUUUGUGCAAUACUUUCAAAUUUUACUAUGAAUGACUUUAUGUCUUUAGGAAAAUGGAUUGAAAUAUUAGGCUGUACUGCUAAAUGGUUUCCUUGGAUUGUAGCUAUUUUAUUUAUAUUUUGGUUUUUAAUAAACACAUUUAAUUUAUGCACAAUAUAUCUUAGUCCUAAUUUAUGGUGUAGAACCCGUUUAAAUACCUUAGGCACAUAUAUAGUAGAGAACUGUAGAAUAUUUGAAGGGAAAAGAUCUACAUGUGCUAACGAAUUUUUAGAUUCGACUAUCAAAACUGUAAACAAUAUUAGAAAAUGCAAUGAUUUAACUUAUCUUAAAAAUAAUAAUUAUUUCAAUUUUAUUCCUGAUUUGAAUAGCAAUAAUUAUACGAAAUGUACUUUUAAUAAUACCUCUAUUUGUAAUAAAUAUAAAAAUAUGAGAUUUAAUACAACCGUAUCACCAGAAGUAAAAACUUUAGAAUCAUACGGGUGUCUCGAAAACCCUAAUUUAGACGUUGACGAUUUUUAUGACAAUAAAUUAAAUAACAGCGAUUUAUAUACAUAUUUGCAAAUAUAUAUUAUUGGCAGUAAUAUUACGUUUUUUCUCUUAAUGUUCUUUUUCUUUUUUGUUAAACGUACUACACAUCUUGAUGGGUUAUUUUAUCAGUCAAUAACUCGUUCGGAUAUGCUAAUACUACGCUUUUUACGUUUUUUAAUUC
rnacentral:lncRNA from 1 species